GACGAACGCUGGCGGCGUGCUUAACACAUGCAAGUCGAACGGAAAGGCCCCCACUUUUUUGGUGGGGGUGCUCGAGUGGCGAACGGGUGAGUAACACGUGGGUGAUCUGCCCUGUACUUCGGGAUAAGCUUGGGAAACUGGGUCUAAUACCGGAUAGGACCAUGGUUUAGUGUCUCAUGGUGGAAAAAUUAUUGUUUUGGUGCAGGAUGAGCUCGCGGCCUAUCAGCUUGUUGGUGGGGUAAUGGCCUACCAAGGCGUCGACGGGUAGCCGGCCUGAGAGGGUGGACGGCCACAUUGGGACUGAGAUACGGCCCAGACUCCUACGGGAGGCAGCAGUGGGGAAUAUUGCACAAUGGGCGCAAGCCUGAUGCAGCGACGCCGCGUGGGGGAUGACGGCCUUCGGGUUGUAAACUCCUUUCGUUAGGGACGAAGCCGCACCUUUUUUGGGUGGGGACGGUA
rnacentral:rRNA from 1 species